rnacentral:tRNA from 1 species
GCCUGGCUGGCUCAGUGGGUGGAGCACGUGACUUUUAAUCUCGGGUUGUGAGUUCGAGCCCCACGUUGGGUG